rnacentral:misc_RNA from 1 species
UACGGAGGGGGCUAGCGUUGUUCGGAAUCACUGAGCGUAAAGCGCACGUAGGCGGAUGUGCCAGUCAGGGGUGAAAUCCCAGAGCUCAACUCUGGAACUGACUCUGAUACAGCACGUCUUGAGUUCGAGAGAGGUGGGUGGAAUUCCUAGUGUAGGGGUGAAAUUCGUAGAUAUUAGGAAGAACACCGGUGGCGAAGGCGGCCCACUGGCUCGAUACUGACGCUGAGGUGCGAAAGCGUGGGGAGCAAACAGG